rnacentral:lncRNA from 1 species
AAUUAUUCCCUUUUCUGCUUCUUCAACUCCAUCUUCUCUUCGUCGUUUCUUCAUCGUCCACUAUCAUACCUCUAGGCUCAACUCUUCACGCUUCAGAUGCAAAUCAAUCCUGGUCAUCACCCAGCUCCACCUUCUCGUUUUCCUUCAUUCCUGUAACUCCCUCUUCUUAUGUAGCUGCCAUCACCUACUCCGUUGGAGUUACUGUAUGGUCGGCUGGUGAUGGCAGCAAUAGCGCUGGAGCCGUUGUUGACUCUGGUGGGACUCUACGUUUGCUUCUCACCGGAGCCCUCCGCCUAGUUAAUGGCUCCGGCACCAUUAUUUGGGACUCUGGUACUGCUGACCGAGGUGUCUCACAUGCGUCUCUUGACGAUUCAGGCAACUUUCAGCUGCUUAACAAUGAUAGUUCCCCAAUAUGGUCCUCGUUUGAGAACCCAACUGAUACCCUCGUUCCUUCACAGAAUUUUUCGGUUGGCAAGAUUUUGCGUUCAGGUUCUUACUCGUUAUCUCUUAAUGAAAUAGGGAAUCUUACUUUAAAGUGGAAUAAUAGUAUAGAAUACUGGAAUCUAGGAUUCAACUCUUCUAGCAAAGGAAAUUUGACUUCACCUAGAUAUGUAUUGCAGUCUGCUGGAAUUUUGAGAGGCUUCGAUCCUUCGUUUUCUAGUGGAAUGAUUAUGGCUUAUAGUACUGACUACGGUGAAGGGAAUGGUGUGUUCAGAUUUUUGAGGAUGGAUAGUGAUGGUAAUUUGAGGAUUUAUAGCACUAGUAAGGGGAGUGGGAAUAUAACCCCGACAUGGGCAGCUGUAACUGACCAGUGUCAGGUUUUUGGAUACUGUGGCAACAUGGGGAUUUGCAGUUACAAAGAUGUGAAUCCCAUUUGCGGAUGCCCAUCCCAGAAUUUUGAGCUCAUUGAUGCAAAUGAUCGUAGAAAAGGAUGCAAGAGGAAAGUGGAGAUUGAGGAUUGUCCAGGGGACAUUACCAUGUUAGAAUUAGGACAUGCCAAAUUUUUAACUUAUCCACCUGAGGUUUCCUCUCAGACAUUUAUCGUGGGAAUCGUAGCUUGUAGAAUGAAUUGUCUUGGGAGCGAUUCCUGCAUUGCUUCCACUUUGGUAGCUGAUGGAAGUGGAUCUUGUUACAUGAAAACCCCAGAUUUUGUUAGUGGUUAUCAGAAUGCGAUUCUUCCUAGCACCUCAUUCGUGAAAGUUUGUGGGCCAGCGGUUCCAAACGCAUCACCAUACCAAGAUAUUGCAGGGAACGAUAACAAUUCGAGGUCAUCUGUGUUGAUUGUUGCUGUUGUGGCUUUGGCCAUCCUUUUGAUUUUGGUUGCGUUAUUGAUUGGUUUUUGGUGCUGCUGUUACCCAAGUAGUCCCAAAUUUGGGCAUAAGUCAGCUCAAUAUGUACUUGUUGAUUAUGCAUCUGGUGCGCCGGUGAAGUUCUCAUACAAGGAACUACAACAGUACACAAAGGGGUUUUCAGAGAGGCUUGGAGAAGGAGGUUUUGGGGCUGUUUACAAAGGGACACUUGCUAAUAGAAUGGUGGUUGCAGUGAAGCAACUAGAGGGAAUUGAGCAGGGUGAGAAACAAUUCAGGAUGGAAGUUGCAACUAUUAGUAGUACACACCAUUUGAAUUUGGUGAGAUUGGUGGGAUUUUGCACUGAUGGGCGUCAUAGGCUUUUAGUGUAUGAAUUCAUGAAAAAUGGUUCACUUGACAAUUUCCUUUUUAUGUCGAAAGACAAGGGGAAAUCAUUGAAUUGGGAAAAUCGAUUUAACAUCGCUCUUGGAACAGCUAAAGGUAUCACUUAUCUUCACGAGGAAUGUCGAGAUUGCAUAAUUCACUGUGACAUAAAACCGGAAAACAUUCUUUUAGAUGAAAGUUACACUGCUAAAGUGUCAGAUUUUGGCCUUGCAAAGCUUAUGAAUCCAAAGGAUAAUAGGUACCUGUCCUUAGCAAGUAUUAGAGGGACAAGAGGAUAUUUGGCACCCGAGUGGCUUGCUAAUCUCCCGAUAACUUCAAAAUGUGAUGUUUAUAGUUAUGGAAUGGUUUUGUUAGAGAUAGUGAGUGGAACAAGGAAUUUCGAGGUCUCAACAGAAACAGAUGGUAAAAGAUUCUCUUUGUGGGCUUAUGAGGAGUUCGAGAAGGGUAAUAUUGAGGGCAUUGUUGACAAAAGACUAGAAGAAGUUGAUAUUGAGCAAGUGGUAAGGGCAAUUAUGGUGAGCUUUUGGUGCAUCCAGGAGCAACCUUCCCAGAGGCCAAUGAUGGGAAAAGUGGUGCAGAUGCUAGAAGGAGUCAUCGAUAUUGAGAGGCCAGGAGCGCCAAAAGUGGUUGCUGAAGGGGCCACGAGAGGAACAGGCACAACGGUGAACAGUAAUAUCAGCGCAUUCUCAACAUAUGCAUCUUCAUCAUCCCAAUCCAUAGGAGUUUUGCCUUUCAGAUCAGAGAGGGAUAUGGGGAGGGAAUCUUCUUCCCUACUAGGCUUAGAGAGAAGUGAGACAGAUCCACACUCGUGAUUUGCCUGCAAAAAACAAGUUUAAUGCAUGGGAGAUUUUAAAUAAUAAAGUAUAAUUGUUUUAGUAGAUUGUUACAAUUAUUUUAGUAGUUCCAGUCAACUAUCAAAUCAAAUUGUUUUCUAAUUCUGCUUCCUUUAAACAGUUUGAAGUAGAGUUCCUCAAAUUUUCACUUCCAUUUGAGAAUAAAAUUUGACAAAUCAACUGAAGUUUCUGCAACUUUUGUUCUGUUAGCAGAAAGAACAAGCAUAGUCCAUUAUUUCAAGUCAAAGUAGUGUACAUCUAAACAUGACAGGAAAAUAAUUUUAAUUGAAGAAGCUAAUUAUUUGAAACUUUUUCCCCUGUUGUGUGUACAGUGACAAUUGCUAUUGCUAGUGCUGCAAUAGAUUUUAUAACCUGAAUUUUUUCUUGAAGCUGUAAUGUAACUCAAUUCAAUUCAAGUUUGAAUUUGUCAAAACUAAUAGAAACUUCUAACUGUAACAUGCCGUUUCAAUUAGGGUAUUUGAAUCUGUUAAAAACAUAUAAUUCUAAGGGUACUGCUAUAGACCUUCACUGGUACAUGAGUAUUCAAUUUGGAUUAUUCAUGGUUCAACUUCUUUGUUUGGUGGGUGGAGAGGGGAGAGAAGGUUUGUUCCGACAGAACAGACCAGAAGCCAAUCCUUCCUCCUUUCGUGAACGACCAGCUGGAAACAGACGUGGAAUAAACAAAACCAAAAGGCACGAAACAAAUGACUACGGACAGUAUCCUCCCUCUUUAAAAGACCGAAACUGGCAUCCCAUAACACCCCCAAACCUUAAUACAGAAACAAAGAAAAAAUGACCCUCCAAUUCCUCCGUUUCUUCCUGUUCCUAGCAACUUUCUUCUCUGUUCCAUCAUCAGCCACAAUCCCUUCAGGCGCCACCGUCUACGCCUCAACCCCAAAUCAAACAUGGUCCUCACCCAAUUCCACCUUCUCCAUCUCCUUCAUCUCCACGAGCCCCAAUGUUUACACUGCCUCCAUCACCUACUCUGGUGGAGUUCCAAUUUGGACAGAAGGCAGCAAUGUUGACUCCGGUGGGGCCCUUCAGUUUCUCCACAGCGGAGCUCUACGCCUCUAUAUUUCUUACCAAAGAUGAUGAUCUAAUCACCAAAUGCAAAUCACUGUAGAUUUUGAGACGAUCACUCAACACGAAACACUACCUAAGCCUUUUACUCCCUCAAUGUUUCAUAAAUAGUGUCGUUUGAGUUUGAUUUAGAUAUUCUUAAGUUUGAUCCUUAUUUAUUUAUAAAUUAUAAAUAAUUUAAAUUAAAAAAUACUUUUUAAUAACUUUGUAUAACAUGGUUUUCAAAUCUAUGUUAAUUAAAAUUUAAAAAGUCAAAUAAUUAAAAUAAGUAAGAUUAAAAUUAAAAAAAAAAGAAACCAAAAAACGGACAUAAAAGGGUGUUUGUAAUCAAUAUGCAAACUUGCUAUUGGAGCUUUGAAAUUUUCAGGGACCAAAGGCAAAAAAUGGGGGUCUUUUCACUCCUAUUUCUUGUACUUAAUUACAAACAAAUUUAGGAAAAUGGCUUGAUAUUUUAUCACAGUUAGUUUUAUAAUGGUCACUUAUCUCAACAAAUAGACAAUGACCCAAAUGGUUUGUAAAAGUUGUGGAUCGAGAAAGUAUGAAUAAUUGAAUAAGCAUGUCAAAAGGUAAGGUAUUAGGUAUUUUUAACAUAUUCUAAUCCGAAUCUUAUUAUUUUAUAAGAUUUUGAAAUUUAUAAAUAUCUAAUUAAAUUUUUGAAUUGUUAUAUACACUCUUAUCCUAAUAUCCUAAACACUAUUCAUUAAAUACAUGAUUAAAUAAAUUUAAACUAAUUUUUAUGUAUAGUAUUAGUGAAAAUUAAAGUAAAAUUAAUUUAUAAAAAAAUUAAAGUUUAAAGGCAUAUCUAUCUUGAAUAAAGUAUUAUCUUAAUUGAAAGAAAUUUAUGAAAAAAAAAAAUAUAUAAAAAAAAAUAAAAUUUAAUAUUAAAAAUUAUUAUUUAUAGGAAAUCCAUUAGCAUCCCCGAGUAAGAAUGAAGAAUGGAAAGGUGUAAGACCGACAAGUUUAAACUUUUACUACUUCUAACUUCUAAAAAGGGUUAUUGCUUUCUUCCGUAUCUCUACCAAAAUUCUACUGCAAAAAGAGGGUGAACUUUCUGCCAUGAACAAAUUCUUCCCUUCCUUGACCGUACAAUGUUUUCGUUCUUUGUCUUUACUCAACUUCGACUCCUUGUCUUGUUAAAUGAAAUGAUGGGAUAACAAAAAGGUAACAGAAUGCAAAUAAACACCAUAGACUACAACAUAUGGCUAAGUUAUCCCUUUUUCUGCUCCUUCUCCUCCAUCUUCUCUUCACCGUUUCGUCAUCGUCCACUAUCAUACCUCUAGGCUCAACUCUUCACGCUUCAGAUGCAAAUCAAUCCUGGUCGUCACCCAGCUCCACCUUCUCACUUUCCUUCAUUCCUGUAGCUCCCUUUUCUUAUGUAGCUGCCAUCACCUACUCCGCUGGAGUUACAGUAUGGUCG